CUAACUAUAAUAUCUCAUCUUGCUCAUUCCAAUGGAGUCCUCCCAAUCUUAAGUUAAACGCUCUAAUUUUCCCAAGAAUUUUAUUUUCGGUGCUGCAACAUCGGCAUAUCAGGUCGAACGUGCUUGGAACGAAGGUGGUAAAGGCAGGAGUAAUUGGGACGUUAUGACUCUACAUUCACCUGAGCCAACAAGCUCAAACAAGCUAUAUGAUCCAUCUGAAGCUAGGGAUGUCAAUCCUGCUCGAGCGGCCCACGUCUCGGCCCAUAAAAAACUUGAGUUGAGGCAAGGCUCGUGGCUUGGUGGAACUGUUUUACCUUUUUUUUUU